rnacentral:rRNA from 1 species
CCAGACUCCUACGGGAGGCAGCAGUGGGGAAUAUUGCACAAUGGGGGAAACCCUGAUGCAGCGACGCCGCGUGAAGGAAGAAGUAUUUCGGUAUGUAAACUUCUAUCAGCAGGGAAGAAAAUGACGGUACCUGACUAAGAAGCCCCGGCUAACUACGUGCCAGCAGCCGCGGUAAUACGUAGGGGGCAAGCGUUAUCCGGAUUUACUGGGUGUAAAGGGAGCGUAGGCGGUUUAGCAAGUCAGAAGUGAAAGCCCGGGGCUCAACUCCGGGACUGCUUUUGAAACUGUUGAACUAGAUUGCAGGAGAGGUAAGUGGAAUUCCUAGUGUAGCGGUGAAAUGCGUAGAUAUUAGGAGGAACACCAGUGGCGAAGGCGGCUUACUGGACUGUAAAUGACGCUGAGGCUCGAAAGCGUGGGGAGCAAACAGGAUUAGAUACCCGUGUA